UACAGAGGUCCCAAGCGUUGUUCGGAUUCACUGGGCGUAAAGGGUGCGUAGGUGGCGGGGUAAGUUUGAUGUGAAAAUCUCCGGGCUUAACCCGGAAACUGCAUUGAAUACUAUUCUGCUCGAGGUUUGGAGGGGGGGGACUGGAAUUCUCGGUGUAGCAGUGAAAUGCGUAGAUAUCGAGAGGAACACCAGUGGCGAAGGCGAGUCCCUGGACAACACCUGACACUGAGGCACGAAAGCUAGGGGAGCAAACAGG
rnacentral:rRNA from 1 species